rfam:Ipomoea nil DNA, scaffold: scaffold0780, cultivar: Tokyo-kokei standard.
GCGUUUGUAGUCCAACGAUUAGGAUAAUUGCCUUCCAAGCAAUAGGCCUGGGUUCGACUCCCGGCAAACGCA